UAGAUUUGUUGGUGGGGGAUCGUCGGACCUAAAACUCAAAGGUAAAAGUGAGGACAUAAGACAUGAAUUUAUAUAGGUUCAGGCCGCCAGAGUAGCGUAAUACCCUACGUCCUGUUUGGGAUGUUGUAUAUCACGCCCUGCACUUGGGUGUUGUGUAGCCUGGUUGUUGGCUAUUGAUGAUGGUUCUGAGCUCCCGAUCUAGAUACCCCUGCCCUCCUUUAUAUACUCAGGGGGUAGGAUUACUAGUCGGUUAUAAGGAGGAGUCCUAGUAGGAUUACAUGGUAUGAGUCAUAGUACGAUUAUAGAGAAAUCCUAGUAGGAGUCUGUCUUCUUCCUUCCUAGUGGGUAAUGGGGAUCUAUCCCCGACAAGCCCUCGAGUGCUUCAUAGUCGAAUGCAAUAGUCUUUGAGUACUUCUUAGAUCCUCACUGAGUAGUUUUGGUGCUCUUUGAGUACUUUGUAUGGCUGAAUCUUU
rnacentral:lncRNA from 1 species